GGAGGGUCAUUGGAAACUGGUAAACUUGAGUGCAGAAGAGGAAAGUGGAAUUCCAUGUGUAGCGGUGAAAUGCGCAAAGAUAUGGAGGAACACCAGUGGCGAAGGCGACUUUCUGGUCUGUAACUGACACUGAUGUGCGAAAGCGUGGGGAUCAAACAGGAUUAAAUACCCUGGUAGUCCACGCCGUAAACGAUGAGUGCUAAGUGUUAGGGGGUUUCCGCCCC
rnacentral:rRNA from 1 species